rnacentral:rRNA from 1 species
UGCAGAAUCCCGUGAACCAUCGAGUCUUUGAACGCAAGUUGCGCCCAAAGCCUUUAGGCCGAGGGCACGUCUGCCUGGGUGUCA